rnacentral:rRNA from 1 species
UCCAGAGGGUGCGAGCGUUAAUCGGAAUUACUGGGCGUAAAGCGCACGUAGGCGGCUUGGUAUGUCGGGUGUGAAAUCCCCGGGCUCAACCUGGGAACUGCAUCCGAAACUGCCUUGCUAGAGUAUGGGAGAGGGAAGCGGAAUUUCCGGUGUAGCGGUGAAAUGCGUAGAUAUCGGAAGGAACAUCAGUGGCGAAGGCGGCUUCCUGGACCAAUACUGACGCUCAGGUGCGAAAGCGUGGGGAGAAAACAGG